UAGGGAUUGUGUUUCACUCAAAACCCACCAAAUGCCUCCUCCCACAAUAUUAGGUUGUUCUCCAAGUUUUGUACUCAAUCCGAUAUCGAUUGGUCCUUGAAAUCAGACAAUUCAGGUUCGUUUGAAAUUCAUUCCAAAAUGGGGUGGUUGGUGUAUUGUAUAGUUCUAGAGAUUGGAUUUCACUCAAAACCCACCAAAUGACUCCUCCCACAAUAUUCUGAUGUUCCCCGAGUUAGUCCUUGAAAUCGGCCAAUCAGGUUCGUACGAAGUUCGUUCUGAAAUGGGGUGGUUGGUGUAUUGUAUAGUUCUAGAGAUUGGAUUUCACUCAAAACCCACCAAAUGACUCCUCCCACAAUAUUAUGAUGUUCCCCAAGUUUUGGACUCAAUCCGAUACCGAUUGGUCCUUGAAAUCGGGCAAUUCGAGUUCGUACGAAGUUCGUUCUGAAAUGGGGUGGUUGGUGUAUUGUAUAGUUCUAGAGAUUGGAUUUCACUCAAAACCCACCAAAUGACUUCUCCCACAAUAUUACGAUGUUGCCCAAAUUUUGGACUCAAUCCGAUAUCGAUUGGUCCUUGAAAUCGGACAGUUCAGGUUCUUACGAAGUUCGUUCCGAAAUGGUGUGGUUGUUGUGUUGUAUAGUUCUAGGGAUUGGAUUUCACUCAAAACCCAUCAAAUGACAACUCCCACAAUAUUAUGAUGUUCCCCAAGUUUUGGACUCAAUCCGAUAUCGAUUGGUCCUUGAAAUCGGACAAUUCAGUUUCGUACGAAGUUCGUUCUGAAAUGGGGUGAUUGGUGUACUGUAUUGUUCUAGAGAUUGGAUUUCACUCAAAACCCACCAAAUGACUCCUCCCACAAUAUUAUGAUGUUCCCCAAGUUUUGGAC
rnacentral:lncRNA from 1 species